AUUUUCAACUUAUAGAAGGUAAUUAUCAAGUCUGCAGUUUUGCAGAACACUUGAAAAACAUAAACACAUGGAUAGGUAAAUAUAAGUGCAUAACCUAAACAAUUGUA